GCCUCCUUCGGGGGGCAAGUAGAGUGGCGCACGGGUGAGUAACACGUAGGUAAUCUACCUUUGGAUUGGGAAUAACCACCGGAAACGGUGGCUAAUACCGAAUAAUGCAGCGGCACCUAAUGGUGACAGUUGUUAAAGCGGGGGAUCGAAAGACCUCGCGUCUGAAGAGGAGCCUGCGGCAGAUUAGCUAGUUGGUAAGGUAACGGCUUACCAAGGCGAUGAUCUGUAGCCGGCCUGAGAGGGCGGUCGGCCACACUGACACUGACAUACGGGUCAGACUCCUACGGGAGGCAGCAGUCGGGAAUUUUGGGCAAUGGGCGAAAGCCUGACCCAGCAACGCCGCGUGAAGGAUGAAAUCCUUCGGGAUGUAAACUUCGCAAGAACGGGAAGAAUAAGUAAGAGUUAAUAUCUCUUACGAUGACGGUACUGUUUGUAAGCUCCGGCUAACUCCGUGCCAGCAGCCGCGGUAAUACGGGGGGAGCAAGCGUUGUUCGGAUUUACUGGGCGUAAAGGGCGCGUAGGCGGCACCGCAAGUCGACUGUGAAAUCUCCGGGCUUAACCCGGAAAGGUCAGCCGAUACUGCGGGGCUAGAGUGCAGAAGGGGCAACUGGAAUUCUCGGUGUAGCGGUGAAAUGCGUAGAUAUCGAGAGGAACACCUGCGGCGAAGGCGGGUUGCUGGGCUGACACUGACGCUGAUGCGCGAAAGCUAGGGGAGCGAACGGGAUUAGAUACCCCGGUAGUCCUAGCCUUAAACGAUGAAUGCUUGGUGUCUGGGGUUUUAUAGUCCCCGGGUGCCGUCGCUAACGCUUUAAGCAUU
rnacentral:rRNA from 1 species